CUGUUCUGCAAAAUAAAUAGAUUUACAAAUUUAGACGAGUUUGUUCAAUAAACAGUGCCUUGCAAUGAGCUGGCGUGGGAUUAGCACAGGUUCCGUAUAGACAGAGCAUUUUAUAUCAACAUCGACCCUCAGGUUCUCCCAUCAGGGAUUCACUCUGACUGCCUGUCUAUCUGUGAACCUCUGCUCCUCUCUCUGUCACUAUGUCUGUCUGUCUAUCUGCCUGUCUUGCUAUCUCUUUCUGCCUGUGUCUCUCUGUCACUAUGUCUGUCUAUCUGUCUGCCUAUCUGUCUGUCUCUCUUUCUGCCUGUCUCUCUCUG